rnacentral:tRNA from 1 species
UGCCGACUUAGCUCAGUUGGCUAGAGCACCUCACUAGUAAUGAGGGGGUCGGAGGUUCGAAUCCUCUAGUCGGCAUC